GUCUUGCUCAUUAUGAUUUAGCUUAAAAUCUCGAUUUAAAUUGGCGUCAAAGUUAAACCGGCGUGUAGGUCGGUUUAUAGUUGUUAAAUCUCGAUUUUAUUGACAGAUAACGUUAUUGUAGAUUUGUUCUUUCUUUUAUUACGUGAAAAUGGAUUUAUUAGCUUUAACAGUGGCGUACAAUGAUAAUGAUUUGUUAUCAGACGAUGACGAGCUAAUCGUGCAAUAUUUAGAAACCCCGUUUUUCUCUCGAAGAGUCUAUAAUGGAAGUGAUUUAUAUAGCACGUUACGAGAUGACGAAUUCUUGAAAAGAUUCCGGUUAAGUAAACGCAGUGCAACAUUCCUGCUUGAUAAAAUUAUUCAUAAUUUUCCAAAUACUUUCAACAGGUAAGCUGUGAAUAAACAUGUACCUACUAGACUAGAAUCCAUCCGCCUUCAACUAACCUAAAUAAAAUAAAUGCUGUAUCCCCAAUGAACCAGCUUCUAUGCACCCUGAGAUAUUAUGCUACUGGUAGUCAAUUAACAGCUUGUGGAGAUGUUAUUGGAGCUCAUGAGUCCACUGCCUGUAGAAUAUUGCAUCGAGUAACACAUGCAAUUGCUUCUUUAUAUUCAGAGUUUAUUAAAAUGCCUGUUACUGUUGAUGAACAAAACAAUGUUGUGGCAAAGUUUUAUGAUAUAGCAAAAUUUCCCCGUUGUAUUGGUGCUAUAGAUUGUACACAUAUAAAAAUUUUAUCUCCGGGUAUGUAACUUUAAUGAAAUAUCUUUAUGAUAGAUCUUUAUGAUAGAAGAGCUAAACGAGGCAAAACUCGAGUUUUAUAAUGCUUUAAAGUAUAUGAUUAACUGUAGUAAAAAAUCUCAGACAAAUAUAUGAUAUUCUUCAGGAUAUAUACUAGCUAGAUAUCGAGCUGAAAACACAAUACAACUUACUUUACUCGAUAGAAAAAAAUCACAAAGAUACCUCUAAAAGAAUCUUUUGAUGCUUAAAGCGUGUUUUAAGUUCCCGAUUAAUUCCCUUAUCUAUUGAUUAACAGCUGCUAAGUAACUGAAUGUCAGAGUAAGAUUUUAAUUUUGUUUUUUCUUCUUAAAUUCAUCUGGUUAGUCACGUCAAAAUUAUAAUAAAUCUUAAUUAUACGUAAAUUAUUGUUUCAUUUCUUGUUUUUAAUGAAGGUAAGAAGCUAGUUGGA